CUACGGGACGCUGCAGGCGCGAAACCUUUACAAUGCACGCAAGUGUGAUAGGGGGAUCCCGAGUGCUUAUGCUUAGCAUAGGCUUUUGUUAAGAUCAAAACUCUUAGCGAAUAAGUGGUGGGAAAGACUGGUGCCAGCCGCCGCGGUAACACCAGCGCCACAAGUGGCAAUCGCGUUUAUUGGGCCUAAAGCGUUCGUAGCCGGUUUGGCAAAUCUUUUGUGAAAGCGUCAGGCUUAACUUGACGAGUGGCAGAAGACACUACCAAACUAGGGACCGGGAGGAGUCAGAAGUAUUCCGGGGGGACCGGUAAAAUGGUAUAAUCCCCGGAGGACUACCGAUGGCGAAGGCAUCUGACUAGAACGGAUCCGACGGUGAGGAACGAAAGCUAGGGGAGCAAACCGGAUUAGAUACCCUUGUAGUC
rnacentral:rRNA from 1 species